rnacentral:tRNA from 1 species
GGAUUCGUAGCUCAGCCGGUUAGAGCGUUCGGUUUACAUCCGAAAGGCCGCAGGUUCGAUCCCUGCCGAAUCCA